rnacentral:rRNA from 1 species
GCUAACCUGAAUCGUCUACUACUAUCAGCAGGGACGAUAAUGACGGUACCUGACUAAGAAGCCCCGGCUAACUACGUGCCAGCAGCCGCGGUAAUACGUAGGGGGCAAGCGUUAUCCGGAAUUACUGGGUGUAAAGGGUGCGUAGGCGGUAAUGUAAGUCAGGUGUGAAAGCCCGAAGCUCAACUUCGGGAUUGCACUUGAAACUACAUAACUAGAGUACAGGAGAGGUGAGUGGAAUUCCUAGUGUAGCGGUGAAAUGCGUAGAUAUUAGGAGGAACACCAGUGGCGAAGGCGACUCACUGGACUGUAACUGACGCUGAGGCACGAAAGCGUGGGGAGCGAACAGGAUUAGAUACCCUGGUAGUCCACGCUGUAAACGAUGAAUGCUAGGUGUCGGCUCUUAAAGGGUCGGUGCCGAAGUUAACACAUUAAGCAUUCCACCUGGGGAGUACGUACGCAAGUAUGAAACUCAAA